rnacentral:tRNA from 1 species
GUUUGAGUAGCUUAAUUUUAAAGCUUAAUAUUGAAGUUAUUAUGAUAAAGACGCACUUUCUCAAAUA